UUGAUCACCUGAGACAACACUGAGUCAACCAUGGGAGCACAGGUGAAGGCAAUUCAGCUGCGUGACUGAAGGGGAGGAGUCUGGCUGCACCUCUCCUAGACCCCAUUUAAGUGGGGAAGGACCUCUUGCUGGUGGAUCUUUCUUCUGUGAAUCUGGAAUCUUCUAUAGGUGUCACUUCUGAGAAUCCUAUGACUGCUACAACAACUCCAAAUACUGUGCUAGUCUCUCAGGUUGCAAGCUGUUAUGGAUCUACCUCAGCUUGUUUCCUCCCAGUUUCUAGACUGUUUAGAUGUAAACAGGAGACAUCUACCCCAUUUUCUGUAUGGUCUUACCUUUCCGUGGCAGAAUCUACUACCCUGCUUUGUUCCAAGUUCAUGUGCAGUUAUGAUACCAGCAGCAUGCUUUGCUCAGAACCAAAAUUAAGUCAAAAUAUUGGGUCGGUGUAUCUGAGAAAGGUGACUGUUGUUCCUCAGCCAUCUGACCAUGCUUGUACCUUCCUGUCUCCCAGGAAACUCAAGUGGAACGAGGUUAAGCUGCAGUGGGAAAUCGCCUUCCUUGUAUAAGAUGGAAGCUGUUAUGCUAUGAUUAAAACUACUGUACUACCUGUUCAAAAUGUAAACCAGUGUACUUUGUAUGCAGCUCAUGUUCUUUGACAUGAUCUUCUUUUAUCCUUUUCUUGAGAUAUUGUCUUCAGACAUUGGGUUUCCUUUGCAUCACUUGGCAUCAAUAAAUCUGCAGCUCUGAAUAAUUUUAUUACUUAUUACUAUGCAUUAAUGCUAAUGAAUUAUGUAAUUUCUAUGCUGUUAUUUGUUGUUUUUCUUCAUUAAAAUUGAGACACGAUGUAUUGGUGCUUGAAAAAUAUCCUGUUACUUCUUAGAACUUGAACUGCAUUUUGUUUCUGUGUUUAGAUCUUUAGCUUUCUUUGAUUUAUAAGGUUCAUCUGAUGGUACGUUUCUAUAUCUCUGAGAGACUAAGACCCCUUUCGUUUGGAACAUUACAGAUUAUGAAACAUUUCAGAUGUUGUCGAGACUUCCCCAAUGCGUUUCCAUCAACUCCAGUGAGGAAAUAAAGCAGUAAUUCUCAGGAAUAGUUUUUGGAGUCAUUCAGUAGACGUAUUUAGAGAGCGUCUUGUAGGCACCUGGAAGCCGGGAAAUUAUCACAUAAGAUUUUAGAGGAUUCAUUUAUUUUAAAAACCUUUGAAUCAACCAAGUUCUUUCAUCUCAGGAUUGUCCUCUGUUAUUCUGUUCAGAUGCCUUGUUUUCUUGCUUGCAUUAGUAUAUCAUGGGAUAUACUAAUAGCUUUUUGCUUAUUCAGGAAACAGGAUCUUAAGUCAAACAUCAGUUAUCUGGCACUUCUUGUCAUGUGUGACCCUUCUUAUAUCGUGAACACAUUUGGUUUAUGGCCUGCAUUUAUCACAAAAGGCCUUUAUUCUGCAUUUACAGUGGUACGAAGGAAGGGAAUGAAUCUAUGUGCAUAUAAAAUGACUUAAUAACUACAGUCAUACUAGUCUGAAACAAUAAGGAUACAUUAUUUUUGGUGGGAGGUAGGAAGAAAUAAAUUCCUCUGCCACUGUAAUAGGUUUCUUGAUUUGUUUUGUUGUUUCUUAGUGUCCUUCAUAACUAUAUCAUUUGAACAAUAUUGCUAGUAAGAAAUCAGCAUGCUCUGACAAUUACCAAAAUAGGAAAUCCUGUUAGAUUUGUUGUGUUGGUAGUCGUAAACAGAGUGAAACGCUAUCCGUAAAUGCAAGAAAACACUGCCAUGAAAAGCCUGGCUACUUAAGUUUCCGUGCAAUUUCAGUUGAUAAUGCCACCUCAAUAGGUAUUAGACUUGAAAAUGAGUAAUUUGGGCAAGGGAGAUGAAGUCAAUAGAAUUUAGUAGGUUAUAAGGUUAUGUGGGACUUGCAUAAUUUGUCUGGCAAGGUCUGUUGUCAUAUAAUCCAAUGCACAAGGGGUUUCCUUAAAAGAAUUUAAAUGAUCUUCAACUUGACAAAUCUUUUAUUUUAAGAAGAUUAAUUACUCCCUCAACAGUCAGGCCUCCAUAAAUGCAUUUCUACCUGUGAUCCUAGAGAGCAGUGAGUUUGAGUUUAGGACAGAUAUCUUUUAUUCCAGAUGAUUCCAGCGUAGCUUUAAACAGUCGGUUUCUUCCCAUAUCCAAAGCAAUAAGAUAGCAUUAGGUACUGGGACAGGGAUCUGGAACAUGAGUUUUGAACUGCCUCUUGGCUGCCUUUUCCUCCCAGCUAGGGUCUGCAAGGGUCUCUUCCUCAGGACUUGGCAUUUGGACUUCCUUCCAAAUUUGCAGCUCACCAUGCUGUGCAUCCUAAUACCUGACCCCUUUCCACUUCACCUGAACUAGCUGUAUGCCUCCUUGAUGUUUCUACCAGGCUAUUUAUCUCUGAGGACACGUCGGUCAGUUUCAACUAACCUCUUGUAGUUCUUGAGAACUACAAGUUCUUUUUAUUAAAGCUAAUGUUGUACUCCUGAGUACAGAGCUGGAAACAAAGUUA